AUACGUAGGGGGCGAGCGUUGUCCGGAAUGAUUGGGCGUAAAGGGCGCGUAGGCGGCCCGGUAAGUCUCGAGUGAAAGUCCUGUUUUUAAGUUGGGAAUUGCUUUGGAUACUGUCGGGCUUGAGUGCAGGAGAGGUAAGUGGAAUUCCCAGUGUAGCGGCGAAAUGCGUAGAGAUUGGGAGGAACACCAGUGGCGAAGGCGACUUACUGGACUGUAACUGACGCUGAGGCGCGAAAGUGUGGGGAGCAAACAGGAUUAGAUACCCUGGUAGUCCACACUGUAAACGAUGAAUGCUAGGUGUAGGGGGUAUCGACCCCUUCUGUGCCGCAGUCAACACAAUAAGCAUUCCGCCUGGGGAGUACGGCCGCAAGGUUGAAACUCAAAUGAAUUGACGGGG
rnacentral:rRNA from 1 species